rnacentral:rRNA from 1 species
GACGAACGCUGGCGGCGUGCUUAACACAUGCUAGUCGAACGCUGAAGACCUGGCUUUUGUUGGGUUGGAUGAGUGGCGAACGGGUGAGUAACACGUGAGUAACCUGCCCUCUUCUUUGGGAUAACGCCCGGAAACGGGUGCUAAUACUGGAUAUUCACUGAUCUUCGCAUGGGGGUUGGUGGAAAGGUUUGUUCUGGUGGGGGAUGGGCUCGCGGCCUAUCAGCUUGUUGGUGGGGUGAUGGCCUACCAAGGCUUUGACGGGUAGCCGGCCUGAGAGGGUGACCGGUCACAUUGGGACUGAGAUACGGCCCAGACUCCUACGGGAGGCAGCAGUGGGGAAUAUUGCACAAUGGGCGAAAGCCUGAUGCAGCGACGCCGCGUGAGGGAUGGAGGCCUUCGGGUUGUAAACCUCUUUCGCUCAUGGUCAAGCCGCAACUGUGGGUUGUGGUGAGGGUAGUGGGUAAAGAAGCGCCGGCUAACUACGUG